GACGAACGCUGGCGGCGUGCUUAACACAUGCAAGUCGAACGGAAAGGCCCUGCUUUUGUGGGGUGCUCGAGUGGCGAACGGGUGAGUAACACGUGAGUAACCUGCCCUUGACUUUGGGAUAACUUCAGGAAGCUGGGGCUAAUACCGGAUAGGAGCUCCUGCUGCAUGGUGGGGGUUGGAAAGUUUCGGCGGUUGGGGAUGGACUCGCGGCUUAUCAGCUUGUUGGUGGGGUAGUGGCUUACCAAGGCUUUGACGGGUAGCCGGCCUGGGAGGGUGACCGGCCACAAUGGGACUGAGAUACGGCCCAGACUCCUACGGGGGGCAGCAGUGGGGAAUAUUGCAACAUGGGCGGAAGGCUGAUGCAGCAACGCCGCGGGCGGGAUGACGGCCUUCGGGUUGUAAACCGCUUUCGCCUGUGACGAAGCGGGAGUGACGGUAAUGGGUAAAGAAGCACCGGCUAACUACGUG
rnacentral:rRNA from 1 species